rnacentral:rRNA from 1 species
GACGAACGCUGGCGGCGUGCCUAAUACAUGCAAGUAGAACGCACAGUUUAUACCGUAGCUUGCUACACCAUAAACUGUGAGUUGCGAACGGGUGAGUCACGCGUAGGUAACCUGCCUGGUAGCGGGUGAUAACUAUUGGUAACGAUAGCUAAUACCGCAUAAUAUUAAUUAUUGCAUGAUAAUUGAUUGAAAGAUGCAAUUGCAUCACUACCAGAUGGACCUGGGUUGUAUUAGCUAGUAGGUGAGGUAACGGCGCACCUAGGCGACGAUACAUAGCCGACCUGAGAGGGUGAUCGGCCACACUGGGACUGAGACACGGCCCAGACUCCUACGGGAGGCAGCAGUAGGGAAUCUUCGGCAAUGGACGAAAGUCUGACCGAGCAACGCCGCGGGAGUGAAGAAGGUUUUCGGAUCGUAAAGCUCUGUUGUAAGAGAAGAACGGGUGUGAGAGUGGAAAGUUCACACUGUGACGGUAUCUUACCAGAAAGGGACGGCUAACUACGUG